CCAUUUGCAUUAUUUAGGCUGCUUUUUCAAUCGACUUCCCUUUGAGUGACAUAAUAAUUGCCAUUAAUUACGACGUCGCACGAACCCUCAAACGCCUCCAAGCCCCUUCGCCACCCACCACCCAUCACCCAGCACCCACCUCACCCCUCCCCCUUGUGGACCCCAAAUGCCGGACUGUCUGAACCACCGACCUCGUGGACUGACUCACUGUCCAAAUCCGCAUUACCUCCGCGCGCCAGCUGACAUCACUGGCUAAUGAAGUUUGCCCGGUGGCCGCAGAAAGGAAUUGCAAAUGCGGUUCCCAUAUU
ensembl:ncRNA lncRNA:CR43686 long non-coding RNA:CR43686